AUGGUCGACAGCGUGUUUCUCCUUAUCCCCAGCCUCCUGCUUCUGGUGGUUGGGAUCUCCCUGCUCACCAGGGGUCGAUGCCAACAGGGUGAUGGCCGACCCCGGCGAUCUAUGAGACGACGACAGCGGCAACCACCGGUACUGAAGCCAGGUGAGUCCCCCGUGGGUCAGCCUCAGCCCCGAGCAGCCCGUCCCUAUGGGCCUGAGGUGGCCCUGGUGCCUCUCUCCCACUGCAGCUCAGACUCCCUCCCUCUUUUGCAGGUGGAAAGCGGUGUUACAGGGCAAUUGGUCUGGAUGACAUGGUACAUGAGUCCAUCCUUCGCCCACAUGGGGGGCUGCCUCACAAAGGCGGGCAGCUCAGUCACCCUUUCAGUUUUUCCAUGGCCCCCCCCACCUGUUCAUUGUAUGGCUAAAGUGGCUGCAGGACAAGCACCAGGACAAGUUGCAAUGCCAAGGAAGGAUGAUCGUGGCAUCUCUGGAAGAGAAGACAAGUUGCUCUCUUCUAUCAACACCAGUGAAAGAGUGGAAAAAACACAUGGGCUGUCCAGAAAGAAUGAGCAGCCACAAGGCCUGACACACCUCAAACUUUCAAUAACCGAGCUUAAGUGUCAUGGGGAAGGAAACAGGACUGAAGAGUUGUGCUCUAACAUGAGCUCCUCCAGCCAGCCACCACAAACGGACUGCAUUGUGCGGGAGAGCAUUCUCCGCCCUGAUGGACGACUGCCUGACAGGAAUGGAUUGUUACUGCAGCCUCCUGUACUGCCCGGGGCAGAACCAGCCCUGUCCAGCCCUGAGAACACCAUCCGCAAGAGCUUCUUCCAGAAGCAUGAGGGGCAGGCAAGCAGAGAAAAGGAAUUCCCACAGCCUCACGGAUUGUCCAUGGCUUCUUCAGCUGUUCCUGGCAUGGCCAAAGUGGCUGUAGGACCAACAGCAGGACCACCUCCAGUUGUGAGAAAUGCUGAACAUGACAUGACAGUGAAAAAACACAAAUUAGAGUCUUCCACUGACACCGACAGAAGCAUGGGGAAUCCAAGUGGGUGCUCCAUACAGAAACAGUACCCAAAGGGCCUGAGGCCACGAAAAAUAUCUAAGAUGGAGAUUCUGGAUUCCAAGGAAGAAAAGAGGAAUCAAGACCCACACUCUGGGGUCAGCCCCUCCAGCCAGCCACCAGAAAUGGACUGCAUUGUCCAGGAGAGCAUUCUCCACCCAGAUGGAGGGCUGCGUCAGAAAAACGGGGAGUUCCUGCAGGCCAUGCCCCCUUUGGCAUUUCCCAGCUUGACCAACAGGGAAAAAGGGCUAUCUUUGCCCCAGAGGGAGAGAAGAGAUGGCGGGUCUGCACCUGGCAGGGACACUGACUGUGCUCUUAGUCACAAGGAAUGCACAGGGAAACUGGACGGGCUCCCCAGGGAACAGCAGCAACCCAGGACUGGCACUCAGGGCUCCACGGGAUGCAACAACAGUGUUCCAUCAGCAAGAGGGAUCAUUGCUCAGGAGAGGUUACUUGACCCACAAGAUGGACGGCGUCAGUGGGAGGAGGUGUCCAUGGGGCGAUGUCUACAGGAUGACCAGCUGCCUCUUAAACUGUCCACGGCUGUUCCAGUGCUUCCCAGCCUGGCCAAGACAAUUAUGUACAAAGACCAGGGCUGCCAAACUGACUAUGUUAUCAUCCUGGAUCCCUUUGUGAAUGAUAUCAGGAAUGGGAAAGAGCCCCCCACUGCAGCGCCUCUCAGGAUCACGAAGCUGCAGCUGAAGGAAGAGCUCCACAGCAAGCUCCGUGAGCACAUAACAAAGAAGUGCCGGGAAGUACAGCUGCAACGCUUCCCUGGGCCAGUGCAGAGGUCCAUGGAAAUGAAGCAUCAAGCACUGUCCAAAAAUCCCCAUACUGUUGCUGCCACCUUACCACCACAAAGUCCCUUGGUACGCUUCAGCAAGCCCAAGACCCUUGUCUAUCCGGACCAGAUGAAGCAGAAGAAGCGUGGGGCAUCCAUUGCCUGCCCAGAGGUCUCCAGAACACCACGCUCCCACCCCAUGCCUGUCUACUUCUAUAGCCUUGAGUCCACGUUUAUGCCUGAGGAGCAGCGUGAGGCCCUGGAGCUGCACAUUCGUGCCAAGAAGCUGCAGAUCCUUGAGAGACGUCUGGGCAUGAAGCGUCCAUCCCAGUCAGCUGUGCCCCAGGAGGAGGGUGGCAGGGCAGCCCUAAGGACCAGCGCCCUGCCCAGCACACCCUGCAAACCUACAAAGAAGUCAAACACCUCCCGGAACCACGGAUCCCAGCAGCCAGACUCCACUGAGGCAGUGCGCAAGGGCAAGAGGAAGAAUGUGCGGAAACUCUACUCAGGCCUGAAGGGCAAGGCCCAUGGUCACAAGUAUCAAGCGAGGAAAGGAGUGACAGGGGACAGGGGCCAGGCAGCUCACUCCUCCAGUUCAAAUAAAUCCUCAUCCUAGCCCCAGGGUGGUAGUGGUACCCACUUUGUGAAGCGCCAGCAGACUUGCGUUGGGCUGUGCCUUCAGGCUGGAGGGGGGUGGCAGGGAAGGGGUGUCCCUGGGCAGGGGGCUUGCCCAUGAGUCCGGUGUGAAUUCACCCAUUCCUCUCUUAAUUCUGGGGUAUUCUAACGGGCACCUUCUCAAACUCCUAACUUGCAAUUCCCAACUGGUAGCUCAGAACACUCAUACUUGGUUUCUUGCAUCCAUGGACAAAAUAGUUGCCUACCCAAGGCUGAGAGAGCUCUUCCUCUCUCUUCUGUCACACUGCACUGGGCACCCUCUGUGCCACCCUGGGAAGUAGCAAAGCUUCAGCAGUCCAGCUGAUGUUGUGUUCACUUCUAAAUCUUUUUGGGGAAGCUCCAUAAGAAUACCAUGCCAGAGAGAGAGCAAGAAACAUUCUAGAAGGGCUCUAGGUUGGGAUCUCACUGAACUAGCUUUUUUAUUUGUGAUUGUGGUGCUGGGCGCCCUGCAAGCAGGAGCGCACACCACAGAUGUAUCAUAACCUUAUAUCCCCUAUUACCCAAUGCUUGAUUCCUCCCCUGUCUCCUCACUGGCUGAGUACUACAGGUUCAGAAUGUACUCAACACUUGUUACUGUACCAUAUCUGUACAAUUUUAUUUGACCAACCUUUAAUUUCUCCUUUUCCCUACUUUUUUCUUCCCUCAUGACUGGAGAGGCUAGUGACUUUUUGUUGUUGCUGAAUCCACAACUGCUGGUGUUGUUUUUCUUGUCCAUCCUCCUUGUUCUGGGACAGUGGGACCUUCCAAUGUUCCCUUCAUCUGCUUAGCAUAGUCCCCACUUCUAUGCCACUGUUAUGCCGCAGUUAUGCUGCACGAUCGCUUUUAUAUAUGCAAAGGUUGAGAAUUUUCCACUGCAAAAACACAGCUUUAAUUCUCACACCCUCACCUCGGUUGGGGCCCUCAAGAUGCAUGAGGCAUGGAAGGGCCUGGAAGUGUGGCUG
rnacentral:lncRNA from 1 species